rnacentral:rRNA from 1 species
AACGAACGCUGGCGGCAGGCCUAACACAUGCAAGUCGAACGCUCCGCAAGGGGAGUGGCGCACGGGUGAGUAACGCGUGGGAAUAUGCCCUUCGGUUCGGAAUAACACAGGGAAACUUGUGCUAAUACCGGAUACGACCUACGGAUGAAAGAUUUAUCGCGGAGGGAGUAGCCCGCGUAGGAUUAGCUAGUUGGUGAGGUAAUGGCUCACCAAGGCGACGAUCCUUAGCUGGUCUGAGAGGAUGAUCAGCCACACUGGGACUGAGACACGGCCCAGACGCCUACGUGAGUCAGCAGUGGGGAAUAUUGGACAAUGGGCGAACGCCUGAUCCUGCCAUGCCGCGUGAGUGAUGAAGGCCUUAGGGUUGUAAAGCUCUUUCGCCAGGGAAGAUAAUGACGGUACCUGGAAAAGAAGCCUCGGCUAACUCCGUGCCAGCCGCCGCAGUAA